AAAAAUUUAAGAAAUAUAUUUAAGAAAUAUAGGCCUACUCAAAGCCCAAAUCAUUGAUAUCAUACCCUAUCCAAUAAUAAAGACAUUUGAAUUUGAAUGGUAACAAUUCCGUUAAAUCCUCGUCCUCGUUUUGAUAGUCUCACUCAUGGCCGAUCAGUGUGUUCUUUCUGAUUAGCUCUUAAUGGGGAUCACCUGUCACGCACCCCUUUAUUAAAGGUGAACACAAUGGGUUUGUUUUACUUUUCUCAUCGGCCUGUGUCAAUCGAGGUUGAGUUUAGUGAGGGUUGAAAGUUUUCGAUCUAGAUUGCAGAUCACUAUUGUCACUUUAUACAAACUGAAAGUAUGCGUGUUUGUUUUUGUGGGCAUUUGACUGAACAGCCUAGACAAAUAUUGCUACCAACAUGGCACUUCGAAACAGACCACCGCAGUGUUAGAUGACUGACAAGAUCUAUGGGGGGGCCCCCUUUGGGCCCCCCCAUACCAACUUAGUCUUCAAAGGAAUCUAGUGCCAUGGGACUCCAGCGUCUUCAAAACAUCCUCGGAAUACAUGUGUAUGAAUGGUCCACCGAAGGGUUGAUCUGGAAGCCACCACGGUCCACGCAGUAAUCUGCUGCGUGGGCCGUAGUGGCUUCCAUAGCCAUCUUUCGGUCUUUCUGAAGAAGCCUGCUUUACGUAGCAUUGGAGUACAAAUAUUGUGCAAAAUGCUCAUGUAAUUGCACUAGCACUGGUAACCUGUAGAUUAGCUUAGUUUAACGUCAUUCGGUGCUGUCUGUCAAAUGUGUGGCUCACUUUAAGUCCACAAGGCCCUCUGGUAAACCACGUUAGAACACCCCUGGACAAGGUGAUUAGUCACUGGGUGUGUGCUAAAGUUUUGUUCAAUUUUUCACUAGUUGGUUAAGGUUUGGUAGAAUUGUUUGGAUGCUAGCGACGUGAUGGCGUAUGUACAAGAGCCUACCGUGGCCAGGCCACAGUUGCGACGGCCACGGCCAGAUGGCCUAGUGUGAGUGCAACCUUGAUUGCAUUUGUAUACUGUUUACCAUGGGAUGUUUAUGCAGUUUGGCUUAAUUCAUCCGCUAAAAUAUCAACAUUUCAGGUAUUCUGUUUGGAUAAUGUGCAAAACUUGUGGCUUCACUAAUAAAAAAAAUUAACGAAUGUAUUUUUCUUAAUGUGGUUAAACUAUUUAAAGAUUUGUAUGCAAAAUAUUUCUGCUCAAUUUGUAGUCAAUGAAACUCAAUUUUUUUAAUUUGAUAAAAAACACAACUAUGGGUUAAAGGUAUUUGCUUUGGGCAUCUUUUGAUAUUUUUAGAAUCUAGCUCCAUUGCCGUUAGAAAUUGUGUCUCCCAGUACUGCAAAGUGCUUCCACAAGUUUAAAAAAGAGGCAGAAAAGGAACUGCCAACUAAAUCUAUUUAACAUGGGUAGAAAGUUUCCAUGGAAGCUCUUGGCUGCUGGUUCCCAACACAGCUCCACUGUUAGCCUGUGACCUUGCAUUUAACAUUUUUGGACUUUUGGUGACUUUCACAAAAGAAAUGAACUGGUUAAUACAAUAAACAAGACAUUUGAAACGGCUACAUUUUUAUCUAUUUGUACUAGCUUUGAUUUCAACCCGUGACAUGUUUGUCAGGUGAUAACUAUGUACCUUUGACCGCAUAUCAU
ensembl:lncRNA